rnacentral:lncRNA from 1 species
CUGCCAAGCGGAGACCUGAAGGUCGCCCUCCAAGGGAGAACGACCAACAGGCAGAUUGACUGGCGGACGCGGGUUUGGGAGAAGCCGUGACCGUCCAACCGAAGGAUACAACGCUUACUCCUCCGACUAACAAUGCACCGGACACAUCAUCCAUUUUAGCCCCAGACACACAUUCUAUAGAACUGAUUAACACAAAGAGACACGCGUUGCAACACCCGGAUUUUCACACUGAUGAUGAGUUAUUUAGGCUUUUUCCAGACCUAGCUGAAGAGGUGCAAGCUCAAAAAGCCCUCCAAAGAGAUUUGUUGCAUGAAAGGUUGUUUUUUGACUCAGGGGCCUCCCUUGAUGGGCCGACAUCGUGUCUGUUCAUGAAGGCCGACGCCUACGAAAGGUUACCGGUAACCAAAAUCAUUGUUAACGGUACUCCGCUUCAGUUUUUGAUCGACACUGGCGCGACAAACUCGGUGAUUAAACUUUCCGAACGCUGCCGUCUACAGCUCAUCCCAUCUUUCGUUUAUUCGAUUUGUGCUAAUGGUGCUACUUCUCGCGAACCCGUGUCCACACCUGCUUAUUGUAUUUGGCCAGCAGGGAACACACACUUCUCCCAUCAAUUUGUGGUUUCAAACGACUGCCCAGUGAACCUACUGGGCAGAGACCUGCUUCUUAAACUUAAAGCAGUUCUCACCUGCACCGAUGCCGGAAUCGAGAUCUCACGACCUUUAACCCCAGCACAAAUGUUCCUCAGACUGUCAGACUCUGUAGAAGAGUCCGCUGGCACACUUUUUGUUUACAACUGGUGGGUUAGUUUUGAUGAUGCAUGCACGCUUAAAUUUUGGGCCGCACAACAUGUGCCCAAGCACCUCACAUUUAAGAAACCUGAGUACAGCCACUGCACAGUACACGUCUCACAACACCCAGACCAUCCCUUUGCUGAGACCUUUUACGGGGACACCUGUAUAAAUGACACCUUAACCGCCGACUUUCUCUACUUUGACUCUCGACACGCUGCUGUUGCUGUACAGCUAACGGAAGACCAACUACCUUUGUUUGACGUACCCAACUCUUUUCCUCACAUCACGGUGGCAAAAAUUCCUAACCUUCAGUGGAAGGACUUGGGCCCU